UACGGGGGGAGCAAGCGUUGUUCGGAUUUACUGGGCGUAAAGGGCGCGUAGGCGGUCAGCACAAGUCAGUUGUGAAAUCUCCGGGCUUAACCCGGAAAGGUCAACUGAUACUGUGCGACUAGAGUGCGGAAGGGGCAACUGGAAUUCUCGGUGUAGCGGUGAAAUGCGUAGAUAUCGAGAGGAACACCUGCGGCGAAGGCGGGUUGCUGGGCCGACACUGACGCUGAUGCGUGAAAGCCAGGGGAGCGAACGGG
rnacentral:rRNA from 1 species